UCGAAACCUGCCCAGCAGAACGACCAGGGAACUUGUUUACCCAUUGCAUGGGGAGGGGUUGCUGGUUCGCCAGUCCCUCCCCAAUGUUGGGGGGCAAUCCAUUCUGGGGAGCCCCCUAGCACAAUAACGAACCCCGGCACGUAGGUGCCAAGGAACAUAAACAAUAGCGUGUCUAUCCUUGCUCGGACCUCCGGUGCAACGAUAUGUCACCCAUUCUAAGUCCUAAAACGACUCUCGGCAACGGAUAUCUCGGCUCUCGCAUCGAUGAAGAACGUAGCGAAAUGCGAUACUUGGUGUGAAUUGCAGAAUCCCGUGAACCAUCGAGUUUUUGAACGCAAGUUGCGCCCGAAGCCUUCCGGCCAGGGCACGCCUGCCUGGGCGUCACGCAUAGCGUCUCCCCUACCCCACCAAGUGUGGGAGGGAGAGGAUGAUGGCCUCCCAUGCCUCACCGGGUAUGGCUGGUCUAAAUAAGGAGCCCUUGGACACGAAAUGUCGCGGCGUUAGGUGGUACAAAAGGCAUCUGCCUCGAAAGCAUUGCGCCGGGCAUCCCGUGGCCUAUGUGGCCUCGUAGGACCCUCAGAAACCUUUGCGACCCCAGGUCAGGUGGGGUUACCCG
rnacentral:rRNA from 1 species